rnacentral:piRNA from 1 species
UGUAAUCGGGUGUGUUGAAUUCUGGAAGU